ensembl:rRNA 5S_rRNA 5S ribosomal RNA
GCUUACGGCCACACCGGCCUGAGUACGCCUGAUCUCGUCCGAUCUCGGAAGCUAAGCAGGUUCGGGCCUGGUUAGUACUUGGAUGGGAGACCGCCUGGGAAUACCAGGUGCUGUAAGCU